UACGUAGGUGGCAAGCGUUGUCCGGAUUUACUGGGCGUAAAGAGCGCGCAGGCGGUCGAUCAAGUCGCGUGUGAAAGCCCCCGGCUCAACUGGGGAGGGUCACGCGAUACUGAUCGACUCGAAGGCAGGAGAGGGUAGUGGAAUUCCCGGUGUAGUGGUGAAAUGCGUAGAUAUCGGGAGGAACACCGGUGGCGAAGGCGACUACCUGGCCUGUUCUUGACGCUGAGGCGCGAAAGCUAGGGGAGCAAACGGG
rnacentral:rRNA from 1 species